GCCUGGGUGGCUCAGUUGGUUAAGCAUCUGACUUCGGCUCAGGUCAUGAUCUCACGGUUCAUGGGUUCCAGCCCAUGUUGGGCU
rnacentral:tRNA from 1 species